UUCAGGGAGAUGUCCACUGCCCUUAAUCCAAGGUAUCAGCCCCCAUCGAGGGAUGAUCUAUCCAACACACUUGUACCUGCUUGGUAUUGCGUGGAGAAAAGCAACCUCAUCCAGAAUUUGGCACAGGUUAACAAGGUCGCUAUCACCUGUGAUGGAUGGACCAGUAUUGCUCAGGACCAUUUCCUCACAGUGACUGUUCACUACAUCUACAAAGGCAAAAUGAAGCAGAAUGUGCUUAGCACUGAAGCAGUUUAUGAGUCACAAACAGGUCCAGUUGUCGCUAAAGAAAUAUCAAGUGUUGUGGAGCAAUUUCACUUGGGAGGGAAAAUAAUUGCUGCCACUGUAGACAAUGCCUGCAACAUGGAUGUUGCUUUGAAAAAAUUGGACUUUUUAAAAUUGGGAUGCUUUGCUCAUACCCUCAACCUGGUCGCACAAAAGGUGUAUGACAUUCCUGCAGUUUCCAGCUGGUGUGCCAAAAUCCGUUCAGUUGUGGUGUGGCUCAAACGUUCAUCCUUGAGCAAAACUGUGCUCAGAGAAAAGCAGCGAAUCCUGAAUUUGCCAGAGCAUAAUGUCAUUCUUGACGUUAAGACACGCUGGAAUUCUCUCUUCCUGAUGGUGGAGAGAUUUAUGGAGCAGUUUGAUGCAAUCCAGGCAGCUGCUCUGGAUCUACGGCUGAGGAAGCCUAUGGAGAAGGACAAGCUAGAAAGGUUCACGCACACCGAUUUAAUGAAGGCAGAGGAGUUUAUUAAGUGCAUGCAAGUCCUGUACACGUCAACCAUGUGUGUGUCAAGUGACAAGUCACCCACAUGCAGCCAAAUCAUCCCCAUCCUGGCCAAGCUGGAGGCACAUUUCAGAUGAUGUGAUGAAGACAGUGUUUUCACCUCUUCAAUAAAAGAGAAAGUCUGGGGUAGUCUGCAGAAAAGAUAUCAGGAUGAAAACCUUCAGAAAUUUCUGAAGGAGGCCACGAUAAUGGACCCACGUUUUAAAGGCAGGCUAGGUGGUGAGGCAGCUACUGACAUCUGGGACAGGUUGGAGAAGGCAGCAGUUGCAAAUGCCACAGCAGCAGUUGCACAGUCUCCCACUGAGGACCCUAAAGCACACAGCGAGGUGGAUGAUUCUGACAUGGACAAGCCAGAACAAUAUGUAAUUUCAGAUUUUUUCUAACACAA